GGCAAGGCUGAAGAAGCAGCUCUCUGACUCUAAAUUCAAGGAGCUUAGUGGGCAUGACAUAUUUGCACCCCCUCCUGAAAUUUUGCCCAGGACAACUACUGCUCCACGUGCAUUGGCCUUGAAAGGAAGCAUAGAGAUAGGAGAACCUGCUUCCCCCAAUGGUCACACAUCUGUUAAGGUUUCUAAUGUGAGUGAACUGUGUGGUUACUUGCGCAUAAUACAUAUAAUUAUCUGUUCUCAUUAUGGAAGUGAAGUAUCUAACUGUUGUGAAUUGGUUUUUAUGUAAUAGCCUGGUGGGGGUCAGAGCAAUAUAGCAUCCAGUGAGGAACCUGCGUCCAAGACAGCUAAGAAGAUUUAUGAGAAGAAAUUUUCUGAGCUCUCAGGAAAUGAUAUAUUCAAGGGUGAUGUUCCUCCGUCGUCAGCUGAAAAACCACUGAGUAAUGCAAAACUACGAGAGAUGAGUGGCAGCAACAUCUUU
rnacentral:lncRNA from 1 species